AUUGAAGUGGCAGACCCCGGCAUAAUGCAAAAGACCUAAGCCCUUUAGAUAGGGGUUCAAAUCCCCUCUUCAAUA
rnacentral:tRNA from 1 species